AACCCAAUAGACGAAAUGUAAUAAAAAUUAAUUUAUAAAUCUAUAUAGGUAAUAAUGGCUAAAUCAAACAAGGCUAUAAUACCAAAACGUGUCCCGGCGAAAAUAUUCAAGUGAGUAAUAACUACAGAUAAACAACGCAGAAACACAUACACAGAAUCAUUUAAUUACCUACCCACCACAGUACCUGCCAUGCCCAGUCUGAUAAUAUUAUGUAUCACU